GGGGAUUUAGCUCAGUGGUAGAGCACUUGCCUAGCAAGCGCAAGGCCCUUGGUUCAGUCCUCA
rfam:Rattus norvegicus chromosome 6, whole genome shotgun sequence.